rnacentral:snRNA from 1 species
GGGUGUGAGGGCGACCUGGCCACCCAUCUGUCACCGACUGAUUGUGGGGUGAUUCGCUGGCCAGGCGGCAGCCCCUCCUCCCCCACUGCUGCGAGUCUCCCUCCCGAAGAGGACAGGACGACCACCCACAGAGGAGGACCAGGAUGUUUCCCUGGCCAAGGGUAUUGGGGCAGCUGUGCUCCCUGCUGAAAAGGAAACUGCAGGCACUCUCAAAAUUGAAUUUAAAUUUUU